CAUGAUGUGGUAUACUUUGGAUCAUGAGCUGUUCCUUUCUUUUGCCAUACUUUUCUCUUCCCAUCAUUCUGG